AGAUGGAAAGAGCUUAUGAGGAGCAAGGAUUUUAUAAGGGACGCCAAAGUUGCCUGCUUUCUUGUCAACAGGUAAUUCUGCCUAUUUGGGUAAAUUAGAAGUUUUAUAGUUGCUACUUGCUUGGCUAACUAUAGCAUGGUUGUGCCACGCUAGAAUGACGUCUAGGGUACUUUUCCUCGCGUCAAUGAGGAAAAAGGAUUGUCUACCUUGUAACAUAAACAUAAUUAUACGUGUCGCGAUUUCCCUGGCAGAAGACUCACGUCAUGUGCA